rnacentral:rRNA from 1 species
GACGAACGCUGGCGGCGUGCCUAAUACAUGCAAGUCGAGCGGACUUUCAAGAAGCUUGCUUUUUGAAAGUUAGCGGCGGACGGGUGAGUAACACGUGGGCAACCUGCCUGCAAGACGGGGAUAACUCCGGGAAACCGGGGCUAAUACCGGAUAAUAUCUUCCUUCGCAUGAAGGAAGGUUGAAAGGCGGCGCAAGCUGCCGCUUGCAGAUGGGCCCGCGGCGCAUUAGCUAGUUGGUGAGGUAACGGCUCACCAAGGCGACGAUGCGUAGCCGACCUGAGAGGGUGAUCGGCCACACUGGGACUGAGACACGGCCCAGACUCCUACGGGAGGCAGCAGUAGGGAAUCUUCCGCAAUGGACGAAAGUCUGACGGAGCAACGCCGCGUGAGCGAAGAAGGUCUUCGGAUCGUAAAGCUUUGUUGUCAGGGAAGAACAAGUACCGUUCGAACAGGGCGGUACCUUGACGGUACCUGACCAGAAAGCCACGUCUAACUACGUG